UACGUAGGGAGCAAGCGUUGUCCGGAAUCAUUGGGCGUAAAGCGCGCGUAGGUGGCUUCGUAAGUCCGUUGUGAAAGUCAAAGGCUCAACCUUUGAAAGCCGAUGGAUACUGCGGAGCUAGAGUACGGAAGAGGCGAGUGGAAUUCCUGGUGUAGCGGUGAAAUGCGCAGAUAUCGGGAAGAACGACCCGUGGCCUAAGGCGGCUAGCUCUCGAGUACG
rnacentral:rRNA from 1 species